CUCCAUUUCCCUGUCGUCUGUGAAGGCUGCCGAGACAGCGCUGUAUUUUUCUUGUUUUUUUAGGUUAUUAUAAAGUGCCCGGAAGCGCCAUGCUGUGGGAAGACAUAAGAAGAAGAGGAGGAAGAACAAGAGGAGGAGGAGGAGGAGGAUGAAGGGGACACACAGGAAUCAAAUGAUACUGCCAGAAGAAGAAGAGGAGGAGGAAGAGGAUACAGAGGAAUCAGUUGACACUACCAAACGAAGAAGAGGAGGAGGAGGACUGGGAAGAAGACGAGGAACACAGGAGGAGCCCAUUGAUACUGCCAGAAGAAGAAGAGGAGGAGGAAGAGGAUACAGAGGAAUCAGUUGACACUACCAAACGAAGAAGAGGAGGAGGAGGACUGGGAAGAAGACGAGGAACACAGGAGGAGCCCAUUGGGAAGUGUCUGAAGGAGUGAGCUACUCAACCCAUUGUGGAGGUUAGCUUGAAGAGGUGGAGGACUUCCUCUCUCCUGUUGAGUGCCUCAUGGUGUGCCUGAGUGUGCGGUGUCCCGCAGGCAGACCGAGAUGUCCGUUCAAUUCUGCCGAAGGAAAGAAGUCGUGUUAGUCAACUCUGAUGACUUGUACUUUUCUCUGCAAGGGACUGUUCUGUAAGCCAGUCACAGAAGAUGUGAACUGUAUCUGUACUAUGAAGUCUUAUAAAUAAAGUUAAGGACCACA